rnacentral:rRNA from 1 species
ACCCGCACAAGCAGUGGAGCAUGUGGUUUAAUUCGAUGCAACGCGAAGAACCUUACCCAGGCUUGACAUGCAGAUGACCGCUCUAGAAAUAGAGUUUCCUUCGGGACAUUUGCACAGGUGCUGCAUGGCUGUCGUCAGCUCGUGCCGUGAGGUGUUGGGUUAAGUCCCGCAACGAGCGCAACCCUUAUCAUUAGUUGCCAACAGGUGAAGCUGGGAACUCUAAUGAGACUGCCUGGGUUAACCAGGAGGAAGGUGAGGAUGACGUCAAGUCCGCAUGGCCCUUAUGUCUGGGGCUACACACGUGCUACAAUGGUCGGUACAGAAGGCAGCGAAACCGCGAGGUGAAGCAAAUCCAACAAAGCCGAUCUCAGUUCAGAUUGUAGUCUGCAACUCGACUACAUGAAGACGGAAUUGCUAGUAAUGGCGAGUCAGCAACAUCGCCGUGAAUACGUUCCCGGGUCUU